AUCUAAAAACUACCAUUGGAUAAAAAAUAGAUGUCUAAGAUUCGACCACAUCACCAAUAAUAAAAAUUUUACUUCCAGAUUCAACCAUGAGUAAACAUUCUAUAGCAAGUAAAUUUUUACUGUUGGUGAUGUGGUCAAAUCUUAUACAUCUGUUUUUAAUCCAACGGUAAUUUCAAAUUUGAU
rnacentral:pre_miRNA from 1 species